rnacentral:rRNA from 1 species
CAAGUCGAACGAGAAAUCUUUAGCUUGCUAGAGAAAGUAAAGUGGCGCACGGGUGAGUAACGCGUGGGUAAUCUGCCUCCGAAUCGGGGAUAACAUUGCGAAAGCGAUGCUAAUACCGGAUAAAAUCUGGUUGGCUUCGGUGAACCGGAUCAAAGGUGGUCUCUUUAUAAAAGCUACCGUCUGGAGAUGAGCUCGCGUACCAUUAGCUAGUUGGUGAGGUAAAGGCUCACCAAGGCGACGAUGGUUAGCUGGUCUGAGAGGAUGAUCAGCCACACCGGAACUGGAACACGGUCCGGACUCCUACGGGAGGCAGCAGUGAGGAAUUUUGCGCAAUGGGGGAAACCCUGACGCAGCAACGCCGCGUGAGUGAUGAAGGCUUUCGGGUCGUAAAGCUCUGUCAGGUGGGAAGAACCCACCAAGUGUUAAGACCACUUGGUGCUGACGGUACCACCGAAGGAAGCACCGGCUAACUCCGUGCCAGCAGCCGCGGUAAUACGGGGGGUGCGAGCGUUAUUCGGAAUCAUUGGGCGUAAAGGGCGCGCAGGCGGUUUUGUAAGUCAGAUGUGAAAUCCCGGGGCUUAACCCCGGAAGUGCAUAUGAAACUAUGAGACUUGAGUAUGGGAGAGGGAAGCGGAAUUCCUGGUGUAGCGGUGAAAUGCGUAGAUAUCAGGAGGAACACCGGUGGCGAAGGCGGCUUCCUGGACCAAUACUGACGCUGAGGCGCGAAGGCGUGGGGAGCGAACAGGAUUAGAUACCCUGGUAGUCCACGCGGUAAACGUUGAUCACUAGGUGUAGCGGGUAUUGACCCCUGCUGUGCCGGAGUAACGCAUUAAGUGAUCCGCCUGGGGAGUACGAUCGCAAGAUUAAAACUCAAAGGAAUUGACGGGGGCCCGCACAAGCGGUGAACAUGUGGUUUAAAUUUCGACGCAAACGCGAAGAACACUUACCUGGACUUGACAUCUCGGGAAUUCCGUUGAAAGACGGGAGUGCCAUUUAACGAGGAAUCCGAUGACAGGUGCUGCAUGCAUGUCGUCAGCUCGUGUCGUGAGAUGUUGGGUUAAGUCCCGCAACGAGCGCAAC